AGUGAACGCUGGCGGUAGGCCUAACACAUGCAAGUCGAACGGCAGCACAGGAGAGCUUGCUCUCUGGGUGGCGAGUGGCGGACGGGUGAGGAAUACAUCGGAAUCUACUUUUUCGUGGGGGAUAACGUAGGGAAACUUACGCUAAUACCGCAUACGACCUACGGGUGUAAGCAGGGGAUCUUCGGACCUUGCACGAUUGAAUGAGCCGAUGUCGGAUUAGCUAGUUGGCGGGGUAAAGGCCCACCAAGGCGACGAUCCGUAGCUGGUCUGAGAGGAUGAUCAGCCACACUGGAACUGAGACACGGUCCAGACUCCUACGGGAGGCAGCAGUGGGGAAUAUUGGACAAUGGGCGCAAGCCUGAUCCAGCCAUACCGCGUGGGUGAAGUAGGCCUUCGGGUUGUAAAGCCCUUUUGUUGGGAAAGAAAUCCAGCUGGUUAAUACCCGGUUGGGAUGACGGUACCCAAAGAAUAAGCACCGGCUAACUUCGUGCCAGCCGCCGCCGUAAGAC
rnacentral:rRNA from 1 species